ACGCGGGGUGGUGACACUCCUCCUCCCACCUCUCUCUCUCUCUCUCGGCGUGAUGCCGACAAAAUGUUGACGAGCCUUCGUAAACGCCGGCGGGAGGGGUUGUGCGGAGGCGUGCGGAGGCGUGCGGGGGGGGGUGGGUGUACCCCACGCGACAAGAGAUACGCGGGUCGCCGAUGGCGUCAUAAAGAUUAAAUGCCAACCGAGCGUGGCGCGAUAUGAAAAGGGGGCGCGCCAUUCGUCUCGCGGGACGUCCCCUGCCCACCGACUUACGGUCUCAGUCGGCUCGCGAGAACAUUUGGAGAGCCGCCUUCCUCCAACCCAACACACGCGACACCAUCCACCCGCCCACCCGAACCGCAAGCCCGGACCAAGCAUCCGCAGCGCGGUGAAGUAUGAUCAACUGACUGUCAUGACCCACACGGUGCGUGGACGUCCUCGUUCAACAGUGGAUUGACAGCAGGACUAUAAAUACACGAGUGGGACGAGCGCUCCUCCAGCGAUCUCCAGCCGCAGACACAGUGGCUGCAGUGAAGAGCGCGGCGGGCCCCGAGAGCCACCGCGGGGACCAGGAGGAUGAGGGCUUGCCGGGACGCUGGUUAAGAGAGAGCCAGAGUGUGUGGUCGGUACGUUGAGCGAGACGGUACGACCUGUUGAGAAGUCAGCAGCACGCGUGUCCGUCCGUCCAUCAGUGCAGAACGAGUUCUCGAGAAGGCGCACCGCCACUCAGUUCGUCACAGGUGCUCGUUGGUGAGCGGGAGCGGUGGCUGUGGCGGUCAGCGCGCUGCGCUACGAACCCGGUGACUCGAAUUCUAAUCCCGCUGACGGCCAGCAACACCGGUGACGAUUACUUGAGCCCAUCCUCGGCCUCCCCUGGGUCGACUCAGCCUCACAGGAGCACCUGGUGUGAACACUCGCACGGGAAGAGGGGUAUGGAAUGAAAGGUGAAGGUGCUGCCCUGCAAACUGCCUGCUCACGCCACUGCUUGUGGAAGGGCCUCCGCUCGAGGGAGUUCUACACAGCCCCAUCUUGUCGUGGUAUUUGGCCUACUCUUCCACGCCGCCGAGACGUUUUGAGAGAGGUGGGGAGCACCCACGCUUUACCCCACCACAAGGGACCGGCCGACCGACGACAUUACAUACCUGGUCAUGAAUAAACUCCUUGGCCACAUCAUCAUCAUCAUCAUCGUUAUCACAUCGUCAUCAUGGCCACCGUCAUUGCCGCGAGCCAUUUGUUUGGUUGCGGUUACACGGGGAGGUAU